rnacentral:rRNA from 1 species
GACGAACGCUGGCGGCGUGCUUAACACAUGCAAGUCGAACGGAAAGGCCCUGCUUUUGUGGGGUGCUCGAGUGGCGAACGGGUGAGUAACACGUGAGUAACCUGCCCUUGACUUUGGGAUAACUUCAGGAAACUGGGGCUAAUACCGGAUAGGAGCUCCUGCUGCAUGGUGGGGGUUGGAAAGUUUCGGCGGUUGGGGAUGGACUCGCGGCUUAUCAGCUUGUUGGUGGGGUAGUGGCUUACCAAGGCUUUGACGGGUAGCCGGCCUGAGAGGGUGACCGGCCACAUUGGGACUGCGAUACGGCCCAGACUCCUACGGGAGGCAGCAGUGGGGAAUAUUGCACAAUGGGCGGAAGCCUGAUGCAGCAACGCCGCGUGCGGGAUGACGGCCUUCGGGUUGUAAACCGCUUUCGCCUGCGACGAAGCGUGAGUGACGGUAAUGGGUAAAGAAGCACCGGCUAACUACGUG